CUCCUACGGGAGGCAGCAGUAGGGAAUCUUCCACAAUGGACGAAAGUCUGAUGGAGCAACGCCGCGUGAGUGACGAAGGUUUUCGGAUCGUAAAACUCUGUUGUUAAAGAAGAACAAGUGUUAGAGUAACUGUUAACACUUUGACGGUAUUUAACCAGAAAGCCACGGCUAACUACGUGCCAGCAGCCGCGGUAAU
rnacentral:rRNA from 1 species